AGUGAACGCUGGCGGUAGGCCUAACACAUGCAAGUCGAACGGCAGCACAGUAAGAGCUUGCUCUUACGGGUGGCGAGUGGCGGACGGGUGAGGAAUACAUCGGAAUCUACUUUUUCGGGGGGGAUAACGUAGGGAAACUUACGCUAAUACCGCAUACGACCUACGGGUGAAAGCAGGGGAUCUUCGGACCUUGCGCGAUUGAAUGAGCCGAUGUCGGAUUAGCUAGUUGGCGGGGUAAAGGCCCACCAAGGCGACGAUCCGUAGCUGGUCUGAGAGGAUGAUCAGCCACACUGGAACUGAGACACGGUCCAGACUCCUACGGGAGGCAGCAGUGGGGAAUAUUGGACAACGGGCGCAAGCCUGAUCCAGCCAUACCGCGUGGGUGAAGAAGGCCUUCGGGUUGUAAAGCCCUUUUGUUGGGAAAGAAAAGCAGCAGGUUAAUACCCCGCUGUUCUGACGGUACCCAAAGAAUAAGCACCGGCUAACUUCGUG
rnacentral:rRNA from 1 species